rnacentral:rRNA from 1 species
GAUGAACGCUGGCGGCGUGCCUAAUACAUGCAAGUCGAGCGAACAGACGAGGAGCUUGCUCCUCUGACGUUAGCGGCGGACGGGUGAGUAACACGUGGAUAACCUACCUAUAAGACUGGGAUAACUUCGGGACACCGGAGCUAAUACCGGAUAACAUGUUGAACCGCAUGGUUCAACAGUGAAAUACGGUCUUGCUGUCACUUAUAGAUGGAUCCGCGCCGCAUUAGCUAGUUGGUAAGGUAACGGCUUACCAAGGCAACGAUGCGUAGCCGACCUGAGAGGGUGAUCGGCCACACUGGAACUGAGACACGGUCCAGACUCCUACGGGAGGCAGCAGUAGGGAAUCUUCCGCAAUGGGCGAAAGCCUGACGGAGCAACGCCGCGUGAGUGAAGAAGGUCUUCGGAUCGUAAAACUCUGUUAUGAGGGAAGAACAAAUGUGUAAGUAACUAUGCACGGCUUGACGGUACCUAAUCAGAAAGCCACGGCUAACUACGUG